rnacentral:tRNA from 2 species
CACUAAGAAGCUACAAGUAACAGCGCUAGCCUUUUAAGCUAGAAAUUGGUGAUUCAGCCCACCCUUAGUGA